rnacentral:rRNA from 1 species
UACCAGCACCCCGAGUGGUCGGGACGUUUUAUUGGGCCUAAAGCAUCCGUAGCCGGUUCUACAAGUCUUCCGUUAAAUCCAACUGCUUAACAGGUGGGCUGCGGAAGAUACUAUAGAGCUAGGAGGCGGGAGAGGCAAGCGGUACUCGAUGGGUAGGGGUAAAAUCCGUUGAUCCAUUGAAGACCACCAGUGGCGAAGGCGGCUUGCCAGAACGCGCUCGCGGUGAGGGAUGAAAGCUGGGGGAGCAAACCGG